rnacentral:rRNA from 1 species
UAAUACGGAGGGUGCGAGCGUUGUCCGGAAUCACUGGGCGUAAAGGGCGCGUAGGUGGCUUGGCAAGCGUGCGGUGAAAGCCCGGGGCUCAACCCCGGGUCGGCCGUGCGGACUGCUAUGGCUUGAGCACUGUAGAGGCAGGUAGAAUUCCGGGUGUAGCGGUGGAAUGCGUAGAGAUCCGGAAGAAUACCGGUGGCGAAGGCGGCCUGCUGGGCAGUGGCUGACACUGA